ACCUGUCUGCUUUGGGUAUCACCACCAUUCGGCAUGUAUUGCCAAUACUAAACAAAUAAGUAAAUACAUAAAUUCAAAGUAACAGGUGUUUAUUAUCACGUGUGUGCUGUAAUAGCCCAUCAGCCUGUCCCUCAGACAAAUAAACUCUCUUUAAAUCUUCUAAACUUCCUCUUGAAGCCCACCUCUCCCUCCAGGGGCUGGGUAGGGCAUUUGGGACCCAGGAUCUCUAACACUCUCUUCUCUGGGAAGCCAUCUCCCACUGCCCAGGAUGCUGGAUGGGAGGUGAGUGCAACGGGCCUGUGGGGUUGUCAGUUGGCGGAAGAAAUCUGUAGAUCCAGGGAGAGAAUCGAGCCACAUGUGUGGAUUUGGAAAUGACAGUGUGUGGCUGCACAGCACGAAGGGGAUGAAGUCACAGACACCUGGAUUUAAAUCGAGACUCCACCAUUUAUUUCUUGUAUGACUUUGGGGAGGUUACUUAAUCUCUUUGUGGCUCAGUUACUUCAUUUGUAAAAUGAAAUGAUAAUAUUCUGGGAGAAUGGUUCAUGUUUCCUUCCUUCAUAAACUGCUGUUCACGAGGCGGCUUCUUCCAGGGUUAAAAAGGAAUCUACUAUCCAUGUAUCUGCUAGGACAGACAUUGUUGCGUGUCACUUGACUCCUGAAAUACGCCACGGUAAAGAAAUCUCUGUAAACUUUCGUGUUCUGGGAAGUCACUGACCACACAGGACCAAUUAUUCUCCAUGAGACUUAGAUAAGGGAUGCUGUCUGUCCACUCUGUGCCGUGACUCCCAGAUGGCAGACACCACCAGUCCUUGUUCUUUUGUCUCAUGAAUGUGUUGUAACCAAGCGAGUUAUAGAGAAACGCCACACUUUGACACAAAUUAAGGGGACCUUUAUUAGCUGGCGACCUAGAGGCAGCUAACGCUCAAAAUUCUCUCGGCCCCAAGGAAGGGGCUAGUUUUGUUUUUAUAUCGUGGUCUAAGCAGGGGAGGGGGGAGUUUAGCUGAAGCAAUUUUACAGAAGCAGAAUAGGCAAAAAGUUAAAAAAAAAAAAAAAACUAAUUGGUUAUAGAAGCAGUUACAAAAAAUAAACAGUUCCAGGUGCAGGGGCUUAAACUAUGAUUAAGAGAUAAAUGCAGGGGCUUUUAGGUACCUUCCGCCGAGCACGUUCCCGAGCUGUUGGUACAGCCUGCCUCAAUAUCUUACCAGCAGGUGUAUUCUUGGAUGUGCUUGGAGUCAGCUUGCACUAGUUAUUCCCUUAAGGGGGAUAAAGGGGACUGGAAGUGAAGAAACUAAAAUGGAGUCUGUCCGGCUCUCUCUGCUAGGAAAGAGUCACUCAGGUUAAAACAAGGUAGGGUGUCACAAAUGAUUCACUUAGACGGGAAGUCUGUCCUCCUAAAAGUAGCUAGGCACAGAGAGAAACAUUCCCUGUUCAGCUGGCUGAGACUUCUGCCGAUUAAAAAAAAAAAAACAACCCUGCCCCAUAAAUCUCCCCACUGAAACCGGUGUACUCCUUCCUACGAAAGUAAAAGACACCCCCGCCCCGCCCCGGUUACCCCAACAGUGUGAUUUCCACUUCUGGGGCGCUCUCCCUAAGGCAGUAGCCUGAAUAAUUUCAAUGUAUUGGAUUGUUUGGUUUCUGUCUUCACCAAGGUGCAUUUAUCAUUCAUGCAAAAACAGUAAAAAAAAAAAAAAGAAACAGCACCUGUCGGUUCUCAGCGGCGCGCCCUAGCUCAAAACUCCCAGCCAAUCACAGGAGAAGUCGGCCGCCUCCCAACCCUCCAGCCCAGUUCCCACGUCCCUCGCCCGGGAAGUCACGUCCGCUACAGGGAGCGUCUUCCCAUGGCCUCCGGAAGCAUUCGGCAGUCCACAAGCCACGCUUCAGAGAAGCCGCUCCGGGAACGCCGCGGCGCACCUCCGGAAGGGAUGACCUCCACGCCUUCUCCCCUCGCAGUCCACCCGAGUGGCGUGGGUCGCGAGAAGCCACCCAACCGCUCCGUCUUCCGGCUCCGGCGGUCCGCGGCAGCCAAUCAAAGGUUCAGUUUCUCAGCGGCGUCGCAUCCCUGUGACGUGAGCACAUCCUCGCCGGCGCCCCCUUCCGCGCUGCGGCGCCUCUAGCCCGCCGGAGGGCGGCUCCUCUCGAUGGUCUUAACCCUUCAAUUACGAGCGGGCGGCGCUGCGUUUCCAGGGCAGAGGAAACGAGGCGCCGCGUUGGCGCUUGGACGGCGGGAACCGGCUCCGGAGCGAGAACGCGCGUGAGAGAGCCCGAGAGAGACGGAGAGCGAGCGAGCGCGCGGGAGAGACUGAGAGCGGGGGGUGGGAGAGAGACAGAGCGAGAGGCCGAGACCGAGGCCGUCCCUAGCACAGGCCAGGGUGUCUUGGGACUCGAAUCCCUGGGUUGGGCUGGCCGGGAGUGGGGCUUUCGAAGGAAGCGGGUGAUUUUCCACGUCGUCCAUAUCUCCCCGGUGUGGGAAUGGCGGUCGUGCACUCUGGGGGUGGCGUUGUUCUCGUUCCCUACUUGGGGGUGGCCUUUUUCAGCGGAGAAAGAGGAUGCCGUGGGCAUUGGUAGCCGGCGGGACUACACUUGGGCUAGGAUCAGUGUUCAGCGGGUUCAGAAAUCACCGUGUCCUUGGCAUCACCUCCCUCCCCACCUCCUCUCCCAUCGCACAGCAGGAGACAGUGACUGGAGGGUUUUCAAGGAGGACUGCAUUGCCCCUAUUGAAACAAACCGUCCGUCCGACAAACCCUUUCUCCGACGUGUGACAGAGGGACGGUCGUAAUGUGAAAUACGACUAGACAUGCGUUUAAUGGGCGGUGUGAUUGCUGCAUUCGUGCGCAAUGAAUGGUCCAGGCCAUUUGUGUCCAGUAGCCGCACAAGCUGCAGGGUCUCAUGUUUGGAGAAGGAGGGCCUCUCCGCCGUCCACCUUGCUGGAGUACAGGCGACCCUGGGCGGUAGCCCUCUCCGCCAUCAGAAAUGUGGUGCUCUGAGUAGCCACAGAUUCCCAUCUGCAUCUCCAAUACCAUUUCCCUCUACUCACUGACCCGUUGGGUGCGUUGGAUUUGUGCGUGGGUGUGAGGGUAGUUUGGUGUGUUUGCUUGCAAAUGGAAAAGCGAAUGGCCUUGGUUGGCUGAGCUUAUCAGGGCACUAGCAGUGGAGAGAGAAAGGACUACUGUAUUCUUAGGAGCAGAAUCUCAACAACUUCCUAUAAAACGGGCAGUGUGUCUUACCUGGAAUGCUUUGGCAUUUAAUAAAAUGUCCUGUGAAUACUUUUCAUAGGGAAGCACUGUUUUUACUGUUUCUGGUUGGACAGUGGUUACAUUUCAAAUCGUAGUUCAGAAUUCGUGAAAUACCCAAAUUAAAUCUCUACGUGGCAGUAAUCCAUUUUCUUUCCUUGGUGUGUGGUUGGAAGAUUAAUUUGAGAUAAGUGUUCAGUUCUGGGCUGGGCAAUCGUGCCGGGCACGGGAAAUUCAGGUUCUUUAAGGGAAAGGCCUGAUGUGCUAAAACGAAAUCUAUACCGUGUGUAGCCGCUUAUGAGAAUAUGAAACUAAGGAGAGCCACAGGUAAGUAUAUGUCUAUGAGUGCGAAUUAAAACGGGUGACAAUAUAAAGAGAGAUUGGUGUCACAAAUGGUGGAGUGACUUUUGUAUUUCAGCAGACCUCAGUGAGAAAUGGUCACCACCACUCCCUAGAUGUGUGACCUUGAGUGAGUUGCUUAACCUCUCUGAUCCUGUUACCUCAUCUGCAACUGGGGAUGAGAAUAUAUAUCAUAGCAUGCCCUGGGAGAAGCUGUUCCUGACCACCUGGGCUAUGGUGAUUUUGACUUCCUCUGUGUCAGAAGUACCCCCGUCUCAUGCCUGCCAUAGUUGUCUUUUUGUUUUGUUUUGUGAUUUCAGAUGGACUCACCGUGUCACCCAGGUUGGACUGCACUGGCCUCAACCUCCUGAGUUCAAGUGAUCGUCCCACCUCAGCCUCCCCAGUAGCUGGGACCAUAGCUGUGCAGCAUCAUGCCUGGCUAAUUUUUUAAAUUUUUUGUUGAGAUGGUGGUCUCGCCCUGUUGCUCAGGCUGGCCUCAAACUCCUGGGCUGAAGCAGUCCUCCCACCUCAGCCUCCCAAAGUGCUUGGAUUAGAGGCGUGAGCCACCAUUCCUGGCUCCUUGGACAAUAUUUUAUUCCUCAGAUUAAGACACGUCCUUGGGAUGGGGCUGCAUUGGAUAAUUCACUGAAGGCACCGCUGAAUGGAGUGAGCCCUCAGUAAAUACCUGGAGGAAUGUGACCUGGCCAGUGAGGUUAUUUUCUUUUGUAGGUGAGAGGUGUAGCAGUCACUCGGCCUACACCCACAGCAUCGACCUUGUGAACCCAGCGACCUGACUGCCUUGGGAGAAUUGAAGCGAAUGAGAGUGGGGAGUGUGAGAGGUGCGCUCGGUGCAGCAUUUCUGGCAUGGGAACAGAACUGGCCAGGAGGAGGUGACGUCUGGGUUCUGCCCGCACACAUUCCUCGCCACCUUCUUGGUGUCUGAGAACCUCCAGCUUCACCUCCUUUUCUGGACCCAAGGGCCUGGCGGAGCUUCCAGCUGGGACCAGACCUCCAUGGAUCCACUCCAGAAAUGGAAUCCAGCAUCGCCUUCCAAAUCUUCCCUGAUGACAGCUGCAGAGACUUCCCAGGAAGGUCCAGCGCCCUCUCAGCCUUCGUACUCAGAACAGCCGAUGAUGGGCCUCAGUAACCUGAGCCCCGGUCCUGGCCCCAGCCAGGCUGUGCCUCUCCCAGAGGGGCUGCUCCGCCAGCGGUACAGAGAGGAGAAGACCCUGGAAGAGCGGCGGUGGGAGAGGCUGGAGUUCCUUCAGAGGAAGAAAGCAUUCCUGCGGCAUGUGAGGAGGAGACACCGCGAUCACAUGGCCCCCUAUGCUGUUGGGAGGGAAGCCAGAAUCUCCCCGUUAGGUGACAGAAGUCAGAAUCGAUUCCGAUGUGAAUGUCGAUACUGCCAGAGCCACAGGCCGAAUCUUUCUGGGAUCCCUGGGGAGAGCAACAGGGCCCCACAUCCCUCCUCCUGGGAGACGCUGGUGCAGGGCCUCAGUGGCUUGACUCUCAGCCUAGGCACCAACCAGCCCGGGCCUCUGCCUGAAGCGGCACUCCAGCCACAGGAGACAGAGGAGAAGCGCCAGCGAGAGAGGCAGCAGGAGAGCAAAAUAAUGUUUCAGAGGCUGCUCAAGCAGUGGUUAGAGGAAAACUGAGACGUGCACCCCCAUGGGAUGGAGACCCGAAGGGACUCAGACGGAGCUGCCGUGUUGGCAGCGCCUGGGUGUGGGCCCAUUUUGGGGACCAAACAGCAAGCUGUGGUCGGAUGAGUGCCAGGACCUGUGUACCGGGACACGUGGGAAUCCUCCCAGCAUGAUGCUUGACCGACCCGAGGAAGGUCCUCAUGUUUCGUGCCUGUCAUUCUCGGAUGGCUGUGAGGCAUUCCUUGGCAAGGGACGCUGCGUACCAGCGGUCCUCGCCGCAUCUCACAUGGCUCCUGUGAUGCAUGUUGUCGCUUUCCCACCCGGGAUCUCCAUCUCUCUCCCUUCCUGCUGUCAGUAAGAGAUCACAUGUCUGUGUAGUGUGAAUGCCUUGUCGCUGUCCUGUGCUUUUGCACCAUUGAGUUGACUGCCUCUGAGAAGCAGCACUAGGCCUGUUGAAAUGCAGUGUGCUGCCCUGAGAUCCAGUUUCAAGAAUGGGCAGGUAAACGCAGUGUGGGAAAGGAAUGUGGAAUGAGAACUUGGUGGUUCACCGCUGUACUAUUUGUGUAAAUGUUUACAUAUGUGAUAAGCUACAUGUAUGUAAAUGUUGCAAUACCCCUAACCGUCGAGUAGUAGUCUCCCUUACAGGAAUUUUUGAUGGGGUUCCUCAUCAUCAAUACCAAAUAAAUAUAUGUAGGAAUGGAAAAUGGGUGUAGAAUUCAGGUUUGUUCCUCAGUAUUGGUUUGUUUCUCAUUAGAUCUGAGCUGGUUACCUUGAAAUCUCCCAGCAGGGGAUCCGGGUUUAUUGAGGGAAGCUCUGUGCUGUGGAGACUGGGAACGGGGGAGGGAGGGCACCAGAGAACACAGCCCAGUCACUGUUUGAGCCCUGCAGCGGGACCAGCAUCGAGACCAGCGAGGCAGGGCCAUGGCUUUGAAGAGAGGCUUCCUGUGCACAGGAGACGUGGAAGCAGAGUCCGCCGCCCACGGUGAGAGCCCUGCGUGUUGGUGCUGGUGCCCUGGCUUAGGGGCUGCGGUGCCAUUGCUUGCUGUGUGGUGGGCCCGGGUGGGUGAAACUGAGCAGCAGUUUGCACCUGCUUUGUGAGAACCAGAGCAUCCUUGGGUUCUUCCAACAUCUUAUUGGGAUUUAGACAUGUGUGUCUUUUAAUUUCAGGAGGCACAAAUGACUAAAUCUACCUUUUUUUUUAACCUCUGCAGAAUCCUGAGAUGUGAACCCAGCCAGUACCCAUGUGACUCCUCUGAACUGAAAACAAAUUCUGCUUUGUGUCAGUCUGUUUUAGGUAGUCCCCAGAGCUGUCUUGCGGCAAAAGUCUACGCAUCUCCUGCCGACAGAAGUGGCUUGAAAACAGGUAAGUGUCUUGGAUUCUGAUGCUGAGAUCUCAUGAGAGAGUCGACAGUUGAACUGACCUAGCUCCAGGGGAGAAGGGGAAAAAAAAGCAGGGCUAUUCCUUCUUGAAACACAAAGGUCUAAGUGGAGACCAGUGAAUCCAGGAGGGUUUCAAAGGGGUUCGAGGCGUUGCCCUUUGGCUGAUGUUUCCUAGGGUUCUGAUGGUAUUUUCCCCAUUUCCAUAUGUCAGCUGCCUUCCUCCACUCCCACACACCCAUCCUCUAGCAACAUUUUCAGUUCCGCUUUAUGAAUUUCGAAAGCAGAACACCAGAGAAGUUAGGGAACUAGCCCACGGUGGCACAGGCAGUAAGAGGUAGAACUAGCACCCGAAUCUAGGUAGGCUGGGAUCGGAGCUGGCCCCCCUUCAGCAGUUCACCUCUGUGAAGGCUGUGGGUGAAGUGCCUAGAGCCGGGCUUUGGUGCUCAUUUCAUAGUUGGUAGCACCAAGUCUUGGUGAGAUCCAUUGCUGAAUCCUCCACACAGUGCCGUGGGCCAGGUACAAUCAUCCCCACCUUGUGGAGAGUUUGUGCAGGUCCUAAAGUGGUGGCCAGAGAUGCAUGCCUUUGUCUCACUCCCCAACCACUCAGAUGCUCUCUGCGGACCUCCUCAGUCAGCCCAGCAAGCACACCAGGUCCGUGCUGCCAGUGACAGUCAUCAUUUCAGCAACCAUCAGGGUUUCCAUUUUCUCACCUUGCCUGUCUCCCUUCUGGGCUACGUCGACUGUCGUGGUGGGGAGGUGAGGAGGAGUUGCAGAGGUAGCCCCGCUCCGGGGGAUUGAGCGAUUCAUCAGGGAGAGAGAUCCGACCCCAUCUUAGUCUGUGUCCUUCCACUAUAUCAUGAAAUACAACAGGCUGGGUGCUCUGGAUUGGAUAUGGUGUGUUUAUCCCCACCAAGAGUCAGGUUGAAGUUGAAUCCUCAUUGCUGCAGUGUUGGGAGGUGGGUCCUAGUGGGAGGUGUUUGGGUCGUGGUGGGGAUCCCUCAUGAAUGAGUCAGUGUCCUGUGAUGCCAUCCUGCUGGGCUGAGUUCUUACUCUCACAGGUAUGGAUUAGUUCGCAGGAGAGUGGAUUGUUCACAAGAUUCUGGCCUCCCUGGAUUCUCUCUCCCUUCCUUCUUUCCAUGUGAUCUCGUUGCACACGCCGGCUCUCCUUCCACUUUCCACCAUGAGUUGAAGCAGCCCGAGGCCCUCACCAGAUGCAGUUGCCCAAAAAUGAAUGUUUCAGCCACCAGAAUUGUGAGCCAGAUAAACCAACUUUUUCUUUUUAAAAGAUUUAUUUAUUUUAUUUUUUUUUAAGAGACCAGGUGAUGCUCUGUUGCCGACGAGAGUGGAGUGGCACGAUCAUGGCUCACUACAGCCUUGAACUCAGGUGGGAUCCUCCCACCUGAGCCUCCCAAGUAGCUCAAGGAUGUACUGCCAUGCCAGGCUGAUUUUUAAAUGUUUUGUAGAGAUAGCGUCUGGCCGUGUUGCCCAGGCAGAUCUCGAACUUCAGGCCUGAAAGUGUUCCUCCUACCUUGGCCUCCCAGAAUGCUGGGAUUAACAGGCAUGAGCCACCGUGCCUGGCCUCCCAUUUUCUUUAGAAAUUACUGAGUCUCAGGUAUUCUGUUAUAGCAAAGCAAAAUGGACCAAGACAGCUGGCAAUUUGUAAUGGAAACAAAUUUAUUUCUGGCGACCCUGGAUGCUGAGAAGUCCAAAACAAAGGUACCAGUAUCUGGUAUCUGGCAAGAGUCUUCCUGGUAUUUCCUCACGUGGCAAAAGGUGGAAGGACAAGCCGGGGAGAAUGUUAUGUCCUCACAUAGCAGAAGAGGAAAAGAGAGAGCAAACCCACUUCUGCAAGCUCUUUUCAUAGCAGCAUUCAUUCACUCACGAGGGCUCUGCCGUGAUGGCCUAAACACCUGCUGUUAUUCCACACCUCCCAACACUGUUGCAGUGGGGAUUAAUUUCACUGUGAGUUUUGGAGGGAACACAAAUAUUGAAAUGCUAGCAGAUACGCAUCGUUGUGUCAGAGAACAGGUGGUUGAUCCCAUGUGGUCCCAGUCUCAGGAGAUGAAAGGAGUGAGAGGGAUCUGAGUUGGAAAAAAGCAGGCAUCAGGGGCUUGCUCAGGGAGGUCACAGAUGCACAAUGCCACAGGGUCUCCAGGAACAGGCAUGGAAGGUGGGUGGGUGGAGGUAACUGAGGCACUCGGCACACCCUCCACAUCCUCACCUCCAGGUCUUUGUCCCUGUACCUGUGUAUGGGGGGUGGAUGGGACUUGGGGGUCAUGUCUGAGACACCAUACUAUCCCAAGUUACAGACCAGGAUCUGCAGUCCUGUGAUGUCCACAGGUGUCCAGCAUGCGACAUUCUAGAGUAGAGACCAAACCAAAGGCACCAGCAGGCGAGAGAGGAUUGGGACAGAGAAAGGUGCAAAUGCAGUGAGCACAUGGGACAUCUGAGUAGACCCGGAGAAUGUAAGGAAAUAGAAAGACUACAUUAAAAAUCUUCCCACUAGGGACAGUCUAGGCUCCACUGCCUCAUUGGUGAAGUCUGUCCAACAUUUACAAAAUACAUAAUGCCAACCCUUCACAGAUUCUUUUAGACUAUAGAGGAGGGAACAUUUCCCAACUUAUCCUUUGAAAAUUGUAUUACCCUGCUACUAAAGGCAGAUAGAGGCUGGGCGUGGUGGCUCACGCCUGUAAUCCCAACAUGUUGGGAGUCUGAGGUGGGCGGACCACCUGAGGUCAGGAGUUUGUGACCAGCCUGGCCAACAUGGUGAAACCCCGACUCUACUGAAAAUACAAAAAUUAGCUGAGUACCUGAAUACAGGUGGGCACCUGUAUUCCCAGCUACUCGGGAGGCAGAGGCAGGAGAAUUGCAUGAACCUGGGAGGCAGAGGUUGCAGUGAGCCCAGAGCGCACCACUGCACUCCAGCCUGGGUGACAGAGCAAGACUUGUCUCAAAAACAAUAAUAAAAUAAUAAUAAUAAUAGUGCCAGAGACAGCAGAAGAAUACCAUAAACCAAUAUCCAUCAUGAAUAUGCGUGCAAAAAUCCCCAACAAAAUAUUAACAAACCCCAAUCCAGCGACACAUACAGUGGGUUAUGCAACAUGACCAAGUGACAUUUAUUCUAGGAAUGCAAGAUUGGCUUAACAUUCAAAUUUCAGUCAAGGUAAUCCACCCUGUUAAUAUAAUAGAGGACGGGAACUAUAUCAUCAUCUUCAUAGACAGAGAAAAGUAUUUGACAAUAUCUGACACCCAUUAGUGAUAAAAUCAUGUCUACACAAAGACAUGUGCUCAGAUGUUCACCGCAGCAUUUUGCAGGAAGGCCCCAGAGUGGAAACAAGCCAAAUGUCUACCAAUCAGUAAAGGGAUAAAGAAGUGGUAUAUCCGUACAGCCAAAUGUUACUGAGCCGUGACAAAGAACACACUACUGAUGCACGUUUGAGCCUCCAAGACAUUAUGCUAAUUGACAGAUGUCAGACACAGAAGACCACUUAUUGCACAAGUCAGUUUAUAGGAAAUGCCCAGAGAGGCAGCUCUAAAGAGAGAGAAAGGAGCUUGCUAGUUGCCUGGGUGGGCCUGGAGGUAAAGUAAUGGGGAUUGACUGCUGCUAGUGGGUACCAGCGAUCUUUCUGGGGUGAUGGAAGUAUUCUGAAACUGGAUAGUGGUGAGGGCUGCAAAACUGUGUAAAUUUACUAAAACUCACUGUGUUAUUCCCUUUAGGUACGUGAAGUUUGUGGCAAGCAAAUUAUACCUUAGUAAAGCCAUUUAAAAAAUGUAGUGCAAGUGUGACCGUAAGUCACGGAGGAAAGGGUAUGCAGUCAUUUCUUUCUACAACAGUAAGCAACAUCCCCUCUCUUUCCCUGUUCCGCGUCCUGCCUACAUGUCCUGCCUGGUCGCCUGGCUCCUCCACGUGCACUUGAUGCUCCAGCCAGAUAGACUGUGCACACCUGGGCAGAGGGAGUGCUGGUGAGUGCACAUGUCUACGUGUGUGUCUGUGUGCGGUGUGCACGCGUUCCUGCGCAGGCACCCUGUGGGUGCAUGCACUAGUGACUGUCAAUCCUCUGUCUGUGGGCUGGCUCCCAUAAUCCAUGCUACGUCCUGAAUUCCACUGCCGGUUUUUCUGUUCACCAAUCUCAAGGACCUGGCUUCAGUUUCCCUGGUAACCAACCUCAGCCCUUAGCUUCAACCUCUGAGCACAGGAAGACAGCCAGAGUGGGGAGGGGUGGUGUCUCACCCACAGGGCCCCUGCCGGAGCUGAGCACCCCAUUGGGAUGAGUGGCAGCACGGUUACCAAGACAACGGAACUCUCGACCCCUUUCCACCUGCAAGGCUCUUCUCCCUCUCCUGGGCCUGCCGAGCAUCAGGUCGGAAAGUGCUGCAAAGAACAUGGGGAGUAUCUGGACUAUCAAUACCCAGAAGUGAGAUUACUGGAUCAUAUGGUAGUUAUUUUCAAGGUGAGUAAAACACUGCAUAGAUACGUUCACGAGACAUUGCACUAUCAUUCCUUGAAUCUAGAGAUGGCUCAGAUUUGUAUUAGCUGAUGUGGAUGAAUCAGCUCCCAGGCUUACUUAUUGUGUUGAGAUGCAUUUUUCACAUGUUAUUAUAAUUAGUGAUAUCAGAUUAAUCCUUCUGCUUAAAGGGCCAUAUAGGACUAGGAAAUGUACGAUGAAAAAUACAAUUCAGCAGUCCCUUGUUUCAUGUGUUGCACCCGUGGAGACCCACCUCCGCAAACUUCUUUUUUUUCUUCAGCUAUUUCUUCUGAAUAUUAACCUCUGUGUCUCUAAAUGAUGGGCUCCUACUGCUAUGUCCCGAUUUAGGGAUUUGGAGGUUAUCUGCUGAGUUCUCGGAGGAGAUGAGCAUUUCAGUCUCUGAGAUACAUUACAGGGCCCGGGUCUGCUCUUUGGCCUUCCCUGUGGGGGCCACCCAAGCCAGGGUCUGGGCCUCCACUCGGAUGCCUGUAGAGAGUCUCUGCCAAUACAAAGCCUUCACGGGAGACUCUUUGCUCAUCUGUGGCAAUGUGGAGGUCAUGGUUGGCUUUUUCCAGAGGCUUGCAGCAGAGUCACGGGGUGAUCUGCAGCCAACCUGGCAGUAUUCCUAGGUUCUGGGGUUCAGGAACUGAGUGGAUGGCGGUGCCAACCCAUGAGACAAGGGACACAGUUGGGGGUCAUCCGCUGAUUUGUUGGGCUUGUGGGAUAUCUGAGUGGACAUGCUCCUGAAACCAUGCCCUGUGGGGGCUCUGGGGCUCAGCUGGGAUUUUCCUGGUGGAGUUCGUGAUGCAGGAAUCCAUCAGCACACAAGCGGAGAAGGACAGAACCAAGUCUGGGUGGCCAUGUGGGCACCCAGGGUCACCUACAGAAUGAGGAGUGUCCAGGGCAAAGGUCGCAAGAGGGAGGAGGAGUCCCGCUGGGGGAGCACAGAGCAGUCUUGUGAUGAGAGUGGUGGACCUAUGGGGCUUGGAGUUGGGGUGAUGGAAGGGGCUGGGUACAUGGGGGCACUUGGUCUGGAGAUUCACACCGAAUGCCUGGUGUGAGGAGGUUUCUUUGCUUGAGACCAUAGAAGCACGAGGAGCCAUCAGAAGCCAGAAGAGGUUGUUCGUGUCUGUGGCCCUGGCCAGGAUGGAUUUCCAGCCUCUGUAAACCUAAGCCCUAUCGUGAGAGUGGCCUCAAAGUGUUAUCCCUCGUGGUGAGGAGGCUGUGCUUUUGGGCCCUUCAAGGGAGGAUCAGAGAGACUUAGCCACAGGGUGACACAACAGAACUCCCCUGGGAGUUCUCCAUGGGAACUGCGAGGGGCCCCGUGUUCCAGUAUUCUUUGCAAAUGCAAGGAGAGCCCCGAGUCUGGAGGUUCAGAUAUCUUGCAGCGAGCCACCUGUACCAGGCCACCAUAAAUAAUGGUGGGGUAUGUUCCCCAGUGAAGGAGCAGGUGCGAUGCAAGAAAGAUUCCGGCCAUCACUACCUGGCCACAGCCCAGGUGCCAUCGGGAACUGAAGGUCUUUGUCAAGGAAACUCGUCAUUGCAAAGCUCCUUAAACUCUCUUUGGGCGGUGGGGGGGGGGGGUGUCUCCGGGUGUCUACCUGGGUGGUACCCCCUAUAAGAAAAGGGGACCACAUGGGGCAUGAAUGUGACAAGAGGAGAAGCACGCCCUUCCUCCAAAUUGACCCCUUUAGAGAUCCCAGGAUGAGACACAAGGGCCCCGGGAGCCUCUCUGGGUCUGGUUCCUGGUGUGCAUUUGCCAGACUCUUCGGCCUCAGAGCGCUGCUGGGGCGUGAAGAAGUGCUGUAGAAGUCAUGAUUUUCUCAGCGUCAAGAGCCCAAUCAGGAUCUGGAAGUGGUGGAGUGGCCUCGGAGUUCCAGGUACUCGAGAGGCUGAGGUGGGAGGAUGGCUUGAGCCGAGUUCAAGGCUGUAGUGAUGUAUGUUUGCACGACUGCACUCCAGCCUGGGUGACAGAGCAAGACCUUAUAUCAAAAAAAAAAAAAACAAAACCGAAUCAGGCAAUGCGUAUAUAAAUGUUUUCUAAAUCUUACAGCUCCACGUGAAGUAAGAGUGCUAUUACUGAUUUUGUUUUUGCUGCCUAACUGUGGCGGCUGCUUCUGUUAGUAACCGAGUUCUAUUAUUAAAUGAAAACACUCAACGGGGCCCAAGACAGCUGACUUGCCCCGGGGUGGAGAAGCGAGACCUGCCCAAAGGGCCAUGCCAGUGCACUAGGGCGCAUGGUGUCUGUGAGAAAUGAGGAGGUUCUGCCUUGGAGAAUGAGUUUCUGCCAGGAUACAACAAUGGGAGACAAUUCUUGGGUCUGUCAGGAGCCACUGAAGUUCUCCCCUGUACCUUUCAACUCUUGGGAGGAAACUGGCAUUAUGUACAUUUGAAAGAAAUAGGAAGGAAAAAAGCCCUCCUUCUUUUAAUAAGAAAUUUUGGCUUGCUGCAUUUGCUCCAGGCGUCAUUCUCUGUCUGUAGAAACAUUGUUUCACUCCACCCUCCAGGGCUCAGUUCCUGGGAAGUGGGGUCUAUCUUAAUAAAGAACACUGGAGCCCGGCAUGGCUGGGGAUGUCAAUGAUGGCCCUCAAGGAGGCCCUGCUCACCUCGGUGACAUGCUCAUUGGCUGCUCCACUCUCUGUGUGUGUCUGGUUUUCUCCUCUUUCUGUGCUCUGUUUGGGGAGGGUCUAUUUAUGGGGAGUUAAUAUCAUCUCAGAUGAUUAAAGAAGAGGUGGCAGCCAUGCACACUGGUACACACCAGUAAUCCCAGUCAUUUGGGAGGCUGAGGCUGGAGGAUGCUUGAGCCCAGGAGUUUGAGACCAGCCUGGCCAACAUAAUGAGACCUCAUCUCUACAAAGAAUAAAAACAUUAGCCGGCUGUGGUCGUGCAAGAUUGUACUCCCAGCUACUGGGGUGGUUGAGGUGGGAGGAUCUCUUGAGCCCAGGAGUUUUGACGCUGCAGUGAGCUACAGUCAUGCUACUGUACUCCAUCCUAGGUGACAGAAAAAAAAAGAGAAAGAAAAGAAGGGGAAAAAAAACCCUUCUUUUUAUGAGAAUCUUUGGCUUACUGCUUUUUCUCUAGGCUUCCUUUCAUGGCUCUAGACACAUGUUUUGACUCCAAGCUCCAUGGCUCAGGCCCUGGGAAAUGGGUUCUGUCUUAAUAAAGGACAGUAGGGCCUGGCCUUGCAUGGGGAGGGGAACGACAGCUUCUCUCUUCUGUGUGUCUGUCAGAUUCUUUGCUCUUUCUGUGUCCUGUUUUGGGAGUCUGCUUAUGAGGGGUUAAAAUUGUCCUGGGUUACAGUAGGGAAGACAAGUACGUCCCAUUCCCUUGCUACUGUGGACUGAUAAGACGGUGUGCAGAGGAGGAGUCGCAGGGAAUGGUGUGCAGAGGAGGAAUCGCAGGGAAUGGUAUGCAGAGAGCAACAAACUCACUCAAGCCCCUCACACCCCACAAGCACGCUGGCUUAUUUAUUCUCUCUGACUGAUUUGACAUUUGUCUUGCUUGUCCACCCUCUGGACUGGAUAGUAAGGGGAAACAAACGCACUGGAUUUUCGUCUAAUCUGGUGUCAUCUGAUGCUGUCAUGUAACCGGUCCAUUUGUAUAAAUGCUCAAUCUGUUUUGGCGAAAAUGAUCAGUCUCUUGGAUUGCCACCCCACCUCCCUACUCUUGUCCAAGAUGGGGAAGGGGCAUAUAUGGCUUUUGAGUCUCCAUGGUGAUGUGGGAAGGGGCCUAUGACAUUGUAUGUUGACUGCAGUGUCCUCGGUGGGUUCUGAGGGAAGGCUCACUCUUGUCCCCAGGUCCUGCUGGCGACGCUGCCCUGCUCACCCAUGCGUGAGGCUGGCGUAACUUGCAUUUUUGUCUCUCUCUCUCUCAUCUUGAUCAGGACCUUGUGCUCCCUGACUGACUUGACCUCAGCCCACCUGUACUGGCAUCUAGCAGACCCUUCUGAGUCAGGGCCUCAUGCUCUCCCCGACCCCUGACCAGUGCUGUCCACUCCACAGCCUCAGCUGCAGGGUCUCCUAGCUCCUAUCUGGCUUAUGCUUGCUUCAUGGUAGCACCGCUGGGUUUUGAAUCAGCCACUUCCACAUUCCCCUCUCAGAGAAUGUAGAGCGCUGAGGUCUCCCAAAACAGCAGGAACCAAGAUCAGCUCUACAAAGUGAAAUUCCUCAACUCCAGACAUCCCUCUGCCCAAAGAGGCUACUGGGCCAUUCUGCAAAACGAGCUCCAAAUUUGCAUGAGGUAAAACCCUCUUUUACUCGAAGCUUCUCUCCACUCCCUUGUCACACCUUCCUCCUCUGAGAUGUCUGACUCUGUCACUGCCUCUGGGGACCUCCUACCCCCUGUGACCAGAACAGGACACUUUCUUUGGCUUGCCUUUCAUGUUCACCUCAGACUUGCCCUGUUAUAUCCAGGUCAAGAAGGUCACAGUUGGGAAUUUGUACUUGGUUCAGAACAACAGUAGAAUAUGUUUCCAAGGGCCUGAGCCAUGGAGCUUGGAUUCAAAAAAAUGUGUCCAGAGCCAGGAAAGGACGCCUAGGGAAAAAGCAGUAAGCCAAAGGUUUACUGCUUCUUACUUAUAAGAAGAAGGGGAGAUUUUUCCCUCUUGUUUCUCUCUCUCUCUUU